AACCCGACUCCAUGAAGCUGGAUUCGCUAGUAAUCGCGCAUCAGCCACGGCGCGGUGAAUACGUCCCCGGGCCUUGUACACACCGCCCGUCAAGCCAUGGGAGCCGGGGGUGCCUGAAGGCCGUGACCGCGAGGAGCGGCCUAGGGUAAAACUGGUGACUGGGGCUAAGUCGUAACAAGGUAUC
rnacentral:rRNA from 1 species